rnacentral:lncRNA from 1 species
AUCACAAGAUUUUGAUUAUGUUAUAAGUACUAAUAUUAGUCAGAAUAAGUAGGUUUAUUUUUGUAUGUAUAUGUAUUAUUUUUGUUAAAACUGGGAUUAUAAAUAUAUAUAUGUAAAUGUGUAACUGUAUGGGGGUGUAUAAUAAUAACCGUGUAUCAUUAUGAAUAUUAUUUUUUGCAACAUCAUUAUUUUUUUUUUUAUUUAUUUUAUAUUUUAUAUUAAUAUAUAGCUAUAAAAUUCCCGAUGUUGGAUAUUUAUAUAAGAUUGACGAAAUGGGCACUGGAAGAACGGAUGACGUGUAAGUCAAAAAUAUAUAGUUUUUAAAACGAUUGUAGAAAAAAAAAAAAAAAAAAGACAUUAUAAACAACAUUUAAAAUUAACGUUAUGUAUGUAUAGUUUUACUUAAAAUAUUACGUUUACAAAAGGUUAUAAACGUGUAGAUAUAAUAUAUACACAGCGGUGUGGCUUGAGUGUACCUUUUCAAAAAAAAUAAGCCCACAUUUAUUUAUCUAUUUAUUUAUUUCUUUCUUUCUUUCUUUUUUUUUUUUUUUUUAAAGCCAUACUCCUAUUAAUAUGGUUUUUGGUGAAAGAGAUAUCGAUGCCGGUGAAGUAGAAAAAAUUAAAAAAGUUCUGAACACAUUCGACCAAGGAAAUGUAUAACAUAAAAAAAAAAAAAUAAAAAAAAAAAUAGCCAUUUAAUGUAACCAUCAUAUUAUAAUUUAAUAAAUCAACAAAAUAGAUAGACAAUAGCUAUAUUAUAUGUACAUACAUUGGUUCCUGUAUCUUUAUUUCUUUUAUAACAAUAUUAAUUUGUUAUACUUAUUUUGUUUUACGUGUUUUACAAAAUUGUUAAGCGGUUGCCUUUGUUUUUAUAUCAUUAUUUUUUUUUUAUUUAUUUUGUUUUGUUUAUUUUUUUACUUUUGUACAAUUAAGGGACUAGGUAUAUGUACAUUAAUGGGAGCAAAAAGAGGGCACUUUGCCUUUAAGUAUAAUGGCUAUCUUAGUCAUUUUCACGGAAUAAAAAGCUAUUUAAAGUUUUUAAUUAACAAACAUUACCCAGGUGCUAAAGUAACACUUAUUAGUGAGGUACUACAUAUAUUUUGGCAAAAAAAAAAUUAUUUUAUUUUCAUUUGUUUAUAUAUAUAUAUAUAUAAUAGUUUUACAAUAUAAAAAUUAUUAUUUUAAUGUUAACAUUUU